ensembl:miRNA
GUUUCUUUGGGGAGUGUUUGCUAUAUAAUUGGAUUUAUACAAUGUUUAGAGGUGCAGUAGGCAUGACUUUGAGUAGAUAA